UCAGUGCAUCCAGCUGCAGGAAGCAGAAUUACACGUCCUGUGGCCCUGCAGUUGGGUGAUCCUCUCUCUAAUAAUAUUAGAGAUUGUUCUAAUUAUAAAUUUAAACUAAAAAAAGCAUCAGUGAACAAAUGUUUCACUUUUUAUUGAAAAUCGUAACUUACGUCUCCAGAGGGGGAAUCAAGAUUCCCACUGAGCCAUCUCAACGAAGAUCAUCAGUUUGUAGGUCAAAGGAAGAGAAUAAAGUAUGGAGUACAGGGUUGUUACCAC